UUCGUAGGCGGUGCGGUAAGUCGGAAGUGAAAUCUCUGGGCUUAACUCAGAGGCUGCUUUCGAAACUGCCGUGCUAGAGUGCGGGAGAGGUGAGUGGAAUUGCAGGUGUAGCGGUGAAAUGCGUAGAUAUCUGCAGGAACACCCGUGGCGAAGGCGGCUCGCUGGACCGCAACUGACGCUGAGGGACGAAAGCUAGGGGAGCAAACAGGAUUAGAUACCCUGGUAGUCCUAGCCCUAAACCAUCAGGACUUGGGGUGGCCCGCGUUGGCGGGUCGUCCCGGAGCUAACGCGUUAAGUCCUGCGCCUGGGGAGUACGGUCGCAAGGCUGAA
rnacentral:rRNA from 1 species